rnacentral:lncRNA from 1 species
AUGUCACGAUGAGGCAUUACCAUUGCACCAACACUCACCCUCUAUAUAGAUGAUAAUUUAGUGGGAAUUAAUCCACCAACAAACUAACAAAGAAAGACCUAAAUUUAAUAAAUUAUAUAUCAAAUGUGAAUCCAUUAAUAAAAUAUGCAGCAGAAUCGACAAUUGCAAUCAAACUCAGCUGCAUCAUAUGCUAUCAAACCAUAAGAUUGAUGAUCAAACAUCAGAUUAUUGCUUGCGCAUAAAACUCAAAAUCUGCCAUCCAGAUCUCCAUCAUAAGAUAUCUACUUCUAAUUAUAAAGAAGCCAGUGUAAAAUCAAUCCUCCAGCCAGCAAAAUAUAAGUGGAUAAACCCCCUUCUCCCUGCUUCAAGACAUUAUCUAACCAAACUCCUCAAAUGGGCUUUGUUAACAAAAUCAUAUAAGGCCAUCAGCAAGAAUGAUAGCAGGAAAGGCCUUUGGACACAAAAUUAAUUGCAAACCAAAAAUGCUUCUACCGUUUGCCUAUUUUUCACUUGUGCUUCAUCCUGCAUCAUGCACAUCAACCAUAAAGGGGCUUAUUUCCCACCUUACUUGGUCACCCAACACACUCUGGCAUCAGAACCCAUCGACUCAAACAACAAAAGGUCAGUUGUUUCACAAUCCAAGCCCAAUGUCCCAACAAAUUUACACUCCGAUAGCCAUUAAAACUCACUCAAAAAAAAAUCUUUAAACAAAAUUAUUACAGAAAAUCGACCAUCAUCACGAGUUUCUCCUCCGCCAUCUUUAGUCAUCCAACACCCUCUCACAUCAGAAUCCAUUGACUCAAACAAUAAAAGAUCAGUUUAAUUCACAAUCCAGACCAACUCUCUCCACGAAUUUCCACCCCCAUAGCGCUAAAGCUCGCGUCAAACAAUCUUUAAUCAGAACUACCACAAAAAAAUCGACCAACAUCCAAUAAAAAUUCCGCAAAGUAACAACUUUGCCCACCAAAAACAAUACAAAUGCAAUCGAAGUCGAUCCAUAUUUUAGUCAUUUCAACAAGAUAAAAACAAAAAUACGACAAUGAGAAAGCAAAAUGGAAGGAUUUUUAGAGGCUAAAUCGACCUUUUAGCUCAUCGGCAAGGGUGAAGAGGUACUCAUUGAGCUUCUUCUUUAUGGAUUCAGCGUCACCGAACUCCCCCGUGAGGAAGCUGUCAUCGCCGCCAGCCAUCCGCCGGAGAGCGGCGGAUCGCAGGGACUCUGGCAGGGAGAGGCCGAAGAGGCGUGCAGCGGCCUCCGAUUCCGCCAGCUCCACGAGGCGGGCCCCGGUAACGGUGGCGCCGGGCAGCGGAAGACGGAGAUCGCCGUCUCUAAGCUGGUCUCCGUCGAUCACCAUUAGACCUCCGUCGGCCAUGAUCCCGUCUGAGAACCGGAAGAGACAAGACGAUCGAAACACUGGGUUCCAAGUCCAACUCUCUUG